rnacentral:rRNA from 1 species
GCACAAGCGGCGGAGCAUGUGGAUUAAUUCGAUGCAACGCGAAGAACCUUACCUGGGUUUGACAUAUACCGGAAAGCUGCAGAGAUGUCGGCCCCCCUUGUGGUCGGUAUACAGGUGGUGCAUGGCUGUCGUCAGCUCGUGUCGUGAGAUGUUGGGUUAAGUCCCGCAACGAGCGCAACCCCCAUCUUAUGUUGCCAGCACGUUAUGGUGGGGACUCGUAAGAGACUGCCGGGGUCAACUCGGAGGAAGGUGGGGACGACGUCAAGUCAUCAUGCCCCUUAUGUCCAGGGCUUCACACAUGCUACAAUGGCCAGUACAGAGGGCUGCGAGACCGUGAGGUGGAGCGAAUCCCUUAAAGCUGGUCUCAGUUCGGAUCGGGGUCUGCAACUCGACCCCGUGAAGUCGGAGUCGCUAGUAAUCGCGCAUCAGCCAUGGCGCGGUGAAUACGUUCCCGGGCCUU